GGGUUCAGUCUGUGUUGAAGGAGAUGAAGGUGUGGUGAAGUAAAGAAUUGUAAACGAGUUUAAUGUUUGUAACCAUUACUGUUGUGGUAAAAUGCGUGCUAAUGAACAGUAAUAAACAGUAGGAGUAUCAGAGAACCCAGCCCAAAUCGCGUUGGAGAAUAUCAUAGAUAUUAAAGAAAAUAGUGAUAUCAUGACACGACACCUACGUUAAAUAAUUCAUGAAGACAUAACGUGCCAUGCAAUAGUUCCCUAUCGUAUCCUAAUUUGUAAAAUUUGAGGAAUGGGUAUAAGCUCAUAGCAUAUUCUUCGUAUCUUUACCCC
rnacentral:lncRNA from 1 species